rnacentral:lncRNA from 1 species
AGUCAUUGCCCAUGGAAUCUCAAACACUGGGUUGCUUUUCACCGAGGCCACGCGCCAGCGACUCUGAAGCCUCCUCUCCUCCAGCGGAUCGUGGCCCGCGGCUUCUCGCCCUCGCUUGCACGCUUUGCCCAAGAACUCUUCCCGGGGCAGAGAAGUUGUGGAAACAAGCGGCUGGCCCGACGGCGGAGAAAGCGGGCUGCGGGGCUGCAGGUCAGCGUGAUGGAAGAGAGGAAGGCGCACGGCGGGUGGAAUAAACGCGCAUGGGUGUGAGGACGGAGACGCCCCGAGGGGCUGAACGCGCGGAGC